rnacentral:rRNA from 1 species
UUGAACGCUGGCGGCAGGCCUAACACAUGCAAGUUGAGCGCGAAAGUUCUUCGGAAUGAGUAAAGCGGCGGACGGGUGAGUAACGCGUGGGAAUCUGCCUAGUAGUGGGGGACAACAGCCGGAAACGGCUGCUAAUACCGCAUACGCCCUACGGGGGAAAGGGGGGGAUCUUCGGACCUCUCGCUAUUAGAUGAGCCCGCGGCGGAUUAGCUAGUUGGUAGGGUAAAGGCCUACCAAGGCUACGAUCCGUAACUGGUCUGAGAGGAUGAUCAGUCACACUGGAACUGAGACACGGUCCAGACUCCUACGGGAGGCAGCAGUGGGGAAUAUUGGACAAUGGGGGCAACCCUGAUCCAGCCAUGCCGCGCGUGUGAAGAAGGCCUUAGGGUUGUAAAGCACUUUCAGUGGGGAGAAAGGUUUGUCACCUAAUACGUGAUGAAAUUGAUGUUACCCACAGAAGAAGCACCGGCUAACUCCGUGCCAGCAGCCGCCGUAA